UACUGCGAGUGAAGAGGGAUGAGCUCAAAUUUGUAAUCUGRCAGUCUUUGAUUGUCCGAGUUGUAAUCUAGAGAAGUGYUACMCAGCGCUGGACCGUGUACAAGUCUCCUGGAAUGGAGCGUCAUAGAGGGUGAGAAUCCCGUCUCUGACACGGACURCCAGUGUGUUGUGGUGUGCUCUCAAAGAGUCGAGUUGUUUGGGAUUGCAGCUCUAAAUGGGUGGUAAACUCCAUCUAAAGCUAAAUAUUGGCGAGAGACCGAUAGCGAACAAGUACCGUGAGGGAAAGAUGAAAAGAACUUUGGAAAGAGAGUUAAACAGUAUGUGAAAUUGUUGAAAGGGAAACAGUUGAAGUCAGUCUUGUCUGUCGGGGAUCAGCUCUGCUUUUUU
rnacentral:rRNA from 1 species